rnacentral:rRNA from 1 species
UUGGCGGACGGGUGAGUAACGCGUGGAAAACCUGCCGUAUACUGGGGGAGUAACAACUUAGAAAUAGGUGCUAAUACCGCAUAAGCGCACAGCUUCGCAUGAAGCGGUGUGAAAAACUCUGGUGGUAUACGAUGGUUCCGCGUCUGAUUAGCUAGUUGGUGGGGUAAUGGCCUACCAAGGCAACGAUCAGUAGCCGGCCUGAGAGGGUGAACGGCCACAUUGGGACUGAGACACGGCCCAAACUCCUACGGAAGGCAGCAG